CACACACACACACACACACACACACAAACAAAGAGGCGUUAGGCUGAGACGCUGAAAGUCCGGAUUUAAAGUGCAGAAAAUUAAGCCAUUGAAUCUGCCUGUCCAUGACGUACAAAGACACACUAUGAGCCAGUAUGAUCCGACCAGACCUUACAUCAGCAUUGAGGAGUUGUCGGAGAAGAAAGAGGCUGAUUGAAGCGGGACAGAUGACAUGGAUCCAUCCUUCCACAGCCAGGAGCGCACCGACCUGUGUCCCACACUUCAUAUAAGACUGGAAGCUACACUGAUCUCACAGCUACACACCACAGACGUCUACACACUGGAGAAGAUUCAGACAGAGUCCCACAAAGAAGUCAUGACCCAGAGGCUGCAGAGAAACAUUUCAAGCCUCAUCUGAGUUUUUGUACAAUAUUUUUGCUGUAUGUAAAUAAAGCUUUGACUCCACA